AGAGUACCGUGAGGGAAAGGUGAAAAGAACCCUGAGCAAGGGAGUGAAAUAGAAUUUGAAACCGUGUGCUUACAAGCGGUAGGAGCCCUUAGGGGUGACUGCGUGGAUUUUGGUUAAUCAUCCUGCGAGUUAUGAUGUGUGGCGAGGUUAAGUGUAAGCGGAGCCGAAGGGAAACCGAGUCUUAAUAGGGCGACGAGUCGCAUGUCAUAGACGCGAAACCUAGUGAUCUAGGCCUGUCCAGGCUGAAGCUGAGGUAAGACUCAGUGGAGGGCCGAACUCACCGCCGUUGAAAAGUUGGGAGAUGAGAUAGGUCUAGGGGUGAAAAGCCAAUCGAACUAGGAGAUAGCUCGUUCUCUCCGAAAUGCAUUUAGGUGCAGCCUUGGUUGAAGAUAUGCGGGGGUAGAGCACUGUAUGGCCUAGGGGGCGUAUAGCUUACCGAAGUCAAGCAAACUGCGAAUACCGUAUAUUGUUUACCAGGAGUGAGUCUACGGAUGACAAGGUCCGUGGACGAGAGGGGAACAGCCCGGACCGCCAGCUAAGGUCCCAAAUUAUGUCUAAGUGGGAAAGGAGGUGGAUAUUCACAGACAACCAGGAGGUUGGCUUAGAAGCAGCCAUACCUUGAAAGAGUGCGUAAUAGCUCACUGGUCGAGAGUAUCUGCGCCGAAGAUAUAACGGGGCUAAGACAUGAACCGAAGCUGCGGAAGCGUGGUAACACGUUUGGUAGGAGAGCGUUCUGUAGGCCGUAGAAGGUGUCCUGAAAGGGAUGCUGGAGGUAUCAGAAGUGAGAAUGCAGGAAUGAGUAGCGAGAAGGAGGGCGAGAAUCCCUCCGGCCGGAAGUCCAAGGUUUCCAGGGGAAGGUUUGUCCGCCCUGGGGGAGUCGGGACCUAAGCAUAAGCAGAGCUGCGAAGGCGAAUGGAAAACAGGUUAAUAUUCCUGUACCGCUGUGUACUGACUGAGAGAUGGAGUGACGCAGGAAGGUAUGCGGGAAGGCUGACGGAAUAGCCUUUCUAAGGGUGAAGCGUGGACAUAUAGGCAAAUCCGUAUGUUUAAACGUGAGGCCUGACGGGUAAGUACCUUAGGGUAUAAGCCGCAGAUCCUACACUGCCGGGAAAAACUUCUAUUUAGGGAAGCAGCGCCCGUACUGUAAACCGACACAGGUGGACAGAGUGAGAAACUUAAGGCCGACAGGAUAACUCUAGCUAAGGAACUCUGCAAAAUAGCCCCGUAACUUCGGGAGAAGGGGUGCCUAUAUUACUUGAGAAGAGAAACACUUCAAGGGGAAAUAGGUCGCAGUGAAGAGUCUCAAGCAACUGUUUACCAAAAACACAGGUCUAUGCUAAGCUGAAAGGCGACGUAUAUGGGCUGACACCUGCCCAGUGCCGGAAGGUUAAGAGGAGGAGUGAGAGCUCCGAUUUGAAGCCCCGGUGAACGGCGUCCUAAGGUAGCGAAAUUCCUUGUCGGGUAAGUUCCGACCUGCACGAAUGGUGAAAUGAUUUGGGAGCUGUCUUGGCCGGAGACCUGGUGAAGUUGUAAUGCCGGUGAAGAUACCGGUUACCUGCAGUAGGACGGAAAGACCCCGUGGAGCUUUACUGUAGCCUGGCAUUGGGUUUCGGCAAUGUGUGUAUAGGAUAGCUGGGAGGCUAUGAAGAUAUGGCGUCAGCUGUAUUGGAGCCGCUGUUGGAAUACCAGCCACGCAUUGUUGGGAUUCUAAUCUCAAGAGAUGGGAGACAGUGCUAGGUGGGCAGUUUGACUGGGGCGGUCGCCUCCAAAAGAGUAACGGAGGCGUUCAAAGGUUCCCUCAGGCUGGAUGGAAAUCAGCCGGAGAGUGCAAACGCAUAAGGGAGCUUGACUGCGAGACUGACGGGUCGAGCAGGCACGAAAGUGGGAGUUAGUGAUCCGGCGGUGCUGAAUGGAAAGGCCGUCGCUCAACGGAUAAAAGCUACCCCGGGGAUAACAGGCUGAUACUUCCCAAGAGUCCAUAUCGACGGAAGUGUUUGGCACCUCGAUGUCGGCUCGUCUCAUCCUGGGGCUGGAGAAGGUCCCAAGGGUUGGGCUGUUCGCCCAUUAAAGAGGCACGCGAGCUGGGUUCAGAACGUCGUGAGACAGUUCGGUCCCUAUCCA
rnacentral:rRNA from 1 species